rnacentral:rRNA from 1 species
AGCGAACGCUGGCGGCAGGCUUAACACAUGCAAGUCGAACGCUCGUAGCAAUACGGGCGUGGCAGACGGGUGAGUAACGCGUGGGAAUAUGCCUUUUGGUUCGGAAUAACUCAGGGAAACUUGAGCUAAUACCGGAUAAGCCCGUGAGGGGAUAGAUUUAUCGCCAAAAGCUUAGCCCGCGUCCGAUUAGCUAGUUGGUGAGGUAAUGGCUCACCAAGGCGACGAUCGGUACCUGGUCUGAGAGGAUGAUCAGCCACAUUGGGACUGAGACACGGCCCAAACUCCUACGGGAGGCAGCAGGGGGGAAUCGCGGACAAGGGGCGCAAGCCUGAUCCAGCCAUGCCGCGUGAGUGAUUAAGGCCUUAGGGUGGUAAAGCUCUUUUGUCCGGGAAGAUAAUGACGGUACCGGAAGAAUAAGCCCCGGCUAACUGCGUGCCAGCAGCCGCCGUAA